rnacentral:rRNA from 1 species
AGCCCGAGGAAACUCGGAUUAAUACCGUAUACGUCCUUAGGGAGAAAGAGGGCUUAGCUUUGAUGCUCUCGCUAUUAGAUGAGCCUGCGUAAGAUUAGCUUGUUGGUGAGGUAAAGGCUCACCAAGGCGACGAUCUUUAGCUGGUCUGAGAGGACGAUCAGCCACAUUGGGACUGAGACACGGCCCAGACUCCUACGGGAGGCAGCAGUGGGGAAUAUUGGACAAUGGGCGCAAGCCUGAUCCAGCCAUACCGCGUGUGUGAAGAAGGCCUUCGGGUUGUAAAGCACUUUAAGUAAGGAAGAAGAGAAUAUUGUUAAUACCAAUACUCCGUGACAUUACUUACAGAAUAAGGACCGGCUAAUUCCAUGCCAGCAGCCGCGGUAAUACGGAAGGUCCAAGCGUUAAUCGGAAUUACUGGGCGUAAAGCGCGCGUAGGUGGUUUAUUAAGUUGGGUGUGAAAGCCCCGGGCUCAACCUGGGAACUGCAUCCAAAACUGACUCUCUAGAGUACGAAAGAGGAAAGUAGAAUUCACAGUGUAGCGGUGGAAUGCGUAGAUAUUGUGAAGAAUACCGAUGGCGAAGGGCAGCUUUCUGGUUCUGUACUGACACUG